CUCCAUUUCAUAAAAAAAAAACUAACCCCUUCUCUCAAACUCUCUCAAGGCCUUCUCCCUCCGGCCAAACUUCGGCUAUGUCCACCGCCGUCCUCCGCCGCCGGCCACCGUUGCCGGCCACCGCGCACGGUGGCCGAAAAUUUCAAAAAGGUGAAUGGCGGUGGAGAAAGUGGCCGAUGUGAUGGAGGUAGGUGGUGUCAGAAGGUGGUUGGCCGAAAGCCAAGCAUAGGGGUGGUGGUUAGGGUUUUUCUUAGGUUUCUUUUUUCUGAUUUUUUUAUAUUAAGCUGUUAAUUUUGGGCUUGGGGUAUUUAGGUUUUGUUGGGUAAAAAAAUUUUUAAGUUGGGCCAAAAUUGGGCCUCAACAUUAACGCCUUACCAUUAAACCAAUAAGCUCAUUCUGAUUAAUUCUUAGUAGAACUUAUUUUUAAGACUUUUUAAUUUUCUUACCCUAUACUUUAAAAAAAAAUACUAAAUUUUUAUCCUUAUUUCUUCUAACUCUAUUUUUGGGAUGUGACAACAGAAGCCCUACUCGCUUAAGCUUCUCCGAUUUUGAUCUUUUCGUCCUCUGCUGUUUGCAGUGAUCGUUGGUAGCUUGGGUGGCUAGGGUUUAUUUUUCCUUUAGGAUGGGAUUAGGCUUGGUUAAGCCCUUGUACUUUAUGUUUGUUUGUUUUUUUUUAAGUUGAUGGACCCAUUUGCUUGUACUCUUUUAUGAUACAA